rnacentral:rRNA from 1 species
AGAGUUUGAUCAUGGCUCAGAUUGAACGCUGGCGGCAGGCUUAACACGUGCAAGUCGAACGAUGACUCUCUAGCUUGCUAGAGAUGAUUAGUGGCGGACGGGUGAGUAACAUUUAGGAAUCUACCUAGUAGUGGGGGAUAGCUCGGGGAAACUCGAAUUAAUACCGCAUACGACCUACGAGUGAAAGGGGGCACAAGCUCUUGCUAUUAGAUGAGCCUAAAUCAGAUUAGCUAGUUGGUGGGGUAAAGGCCCACCAAGGCGACGAUCUGUAACUGGUCUGAGAGGAUGAUCAGUCACACCGGAACUGAGGCACGGUCCGGACUCCUACGGGAGGCAGCAGUGGGGAAUAUUGGACAAUGGGGGCAACCCUGAUCCAGCCAUGCCGCGUGUGUGAAGAAGGCCUUUUGGUUGUAAAGCACUUUAAGCAGGGAGGAGAGGCUAAUGGUUAAUACCCAUUAGAUUAGACGUUACCUGCAGAAUAAGCACCGGCUAACUCUGUGCCAGCAGCCGCGGUAAUACAGAGGGUGCGAGCGUUAAUCGGAAUUACUGGGCGUAAAGCGAGUGUAGGUGGCUCAUUAAGUCACAUGUGAAAUCCCCGGGCUUAACCUGGGAACUGCAUGUGAUACUGGUGGUGCUAGAAUAUGUGAGAGGGAAGUAGAAUUCCAGGUGUAGCGGUGAAAUGCGUAGAGAUCUGGAGGAAUACCGAUGGCGAAGGCAGCUUCCUGGCAUAAUAUUGACACUGAGAUUCGAAAGCGUGGGUAGCAAACAGGAUUAGAUACCCUGGUAGUCCACGCCGUAAACGAUGUCUACUAGCCGUUGGGGUCCUUGAGACUUUAGUGGCGCAGUUAACGCGAUAAGUAGACCGCCUGGGGGAGUACGGGCCGCAAGGUUAAAACUCAAAUGAAUUGACGG